CUGGCGCAAAUGUUCAAGAAAUCGAAAAGAAAUUUUCGUCAAAGAGUCGCGAGAAGUGAUUCUAACGCGGAAAAGAAUCAGAUUGGAUUCUACCGGAGCCGAAAGAGCAAAAGAAACACAAAAUACCCAAAUCUUCCUUCGUGCUGACUGCUGAUUUUCGUCCACGAAGAAGGUAAUACGUUUUCGCGACUUAGAAUACCGGUUUAUAUAUACAUGUAGAGCGUCCAAAGGUUCACCUGACCACCACAACUCUUUUCGGAGUGUCUGAAGUUCGUGUACGUGCUGGGAAGCCACUUACAAUGAAACUGGGCAUUACCGGUUCUCCAACUCCCAUUGUCAUCUGGGCUAAAGAAGGAAAACCCAUUCCAAGGGCUCGCACCUCCAACACUCAUUACUAUACUACACUAGAGCUCCCAAAAGCAGAUCAUGGUGACACUGGAAACUACCUUGUGACUGUUGAAAACUAACAUGGCAGAGAUUCUGCAGAUAUUCCGGUCUUAGUUAUUGACAAGCCUGGACCCCCGGACGGUCCUUUGGAGGUCAGUGAUGCGUUUCCGGACUCCUGCCAAUUGGCUUGGAAACCACCUCAGGACAAAGGAAACUAACCAAUAAUCGUUACACAGUAGAAAAAUGCCAGGAGGGCUUGUACUUCUGGGAAAAGGUGCCUGGCAUGCCGAUGUGCAAGUCCAUAAUAGUCACUGGACUGAAGACUGGAGUCAAGUUCAAGUUCAGGGUCAUGGCUGAGAACAUAUACGGAAUAGGAGAGCCCUUAGGAGACAGAUUUCCCAGUGUUAGUCAAGAAUCGAUUUGAGUCCCCAAAGGUUCACCUGACCAACACAUCUCUUUCUUGAGCGUCUGAAGUUUGUGUACGUGCUGGGGAGCCACUUACGAUGAAACUGGGCAUUACCGGUUCUCCUACUCCCACUGUCAUCUGGACCAAAAAAGGAAAACCCAUCCCAAGGGCUCGCACCUCCAACACUAAUGACUGUACUACACUAGAGCUCCUAAAAGCACAUCAUGGGGACACUGGAAACUACCUUGUGAUUGUUGAAAACGAUCAUGGCAGAGAUUUUGCAGAUAUUCCGUUCAUCAUUAUUGACAAGUGUGGACCCCCCGAAGGUACUCUGGAGGUCAGUGAUGUGUUUGCGGACUCCUGCUGAUUGGCAUGGAAACCACCUCAGGACAAAAGAAACUUACCAAUUAUCGGUUACACAGUAGAGAAAUGCCAGGAGGGCUCAGACUUCUGGGAAAAGGUGCCUGGCAUACCGAUGUGCAAGUCCAGAAUAGUCACUGGACUGAAGACUGGAGUCAAGUUCAAGUUCAGGGUCAUGGCUGAGAACAUAUACGGAAUAGCAGAGCCCUUAGAGACAGACUGCCCAGUGUUAGUCAAGAAUCGAUUUGAGCCGCCUGCCAAGAAGACAGU